CUGACAUGCGUGCGAGUCGACGGGUUCUGAAACCUGGGAUGCGCAAGGAAGCUGACGAGCGGGAGGCCCUCACGGGCCGCACCGCUGGCCGACCCUGAUCUUCUGUGAAGGGUUCGAGUUGGAGCACGCCUGUCGGGACCCGAAAGAUGGUGAACUAUGCCUGAGCGGGGCGAAGCCAGAGGAAACUCUGGUGGAGGCUCGAAGCGAUACUGACGUGCAAAUCGUUCGUCUGACUUGGGUAUAGGGGCGAAAGACUAAUCGAACCAUCUAGUAGCUGG
rnacentral:ncRNA from 2 species